UCAUAAAUGUAGGAGUACUGUCCAAUAGGAUCCCUUAUAUAUGAUAAUUUCUAUGAUAGUAUAAUUGUGGCGUCGGUUAUCUAUGGGGAAUAUCAGAUUUUCACUCAGUCAUACAGAGUGAUGGAUAUAGCUAUGGACUUAACAUCAAAAACGAGUAUCCAAUUUUAAAUUAAGCUAAAAAGGCCACAAAUUGAUAGUCCAUCGCCCGGUUUUCAUAUAUGUAUGUACUGUGACAAAUUUGCGACGACUAUCUUCAUUUAUGUCUGUGGUAGUGCAUGUUUCGUAGCACGGCUUAUUCAUUUUAACACUCAAUGCCUCGGGUCUAAUACUGCAUAUUAGUGAACGCAUAUGUGCGUAGUUGACAGUGUGCUUGAAGUCAUGGUUCAUAUUGCUAUGUCUUUAUUAAUUAACUGAUUUAUGUAUAUGUUUAAGCUUUCGCUUUACCUACGUUAUUUGUGGUGAAUAGGUGCACAUCCUCUUUGUACACUCAAAUGUUUUAUAUCUAUGAUUUGUACGUUGCUAUGAGACGCAUCGUUUAUAAUCUAUUCGAUUUGAUUUAUCUAAAUAAAAACACGUAAACACAUUUCUUUUUAGGGUUCCGUAGUCAACUAGGAACCCUUAUAGUUUCGCCAUGUCCGUCUGUCUGUCUGUCUGUCUGUCUGUCCGAGGCUUUGCUCCGUGGUCGUUAGUGCUAGAAAGCUGAAAUUUGGCAUGGAUAUAUAAAUCAAUAAAGCCGACAAAGUCGUACAAUAAAAUCUAAAAAUUUAUUUUUUUUAGGGUACCUCCCCUACACGUAAAGUGGGGGUGAACAUUUUUUUUUGCUUCAACCCUAUAGUGUGGGAUAUCGUUGGAAAGGUCUUUCAAAACUAAUAGGGGUCUUCAAUAAACAUUUCUUGAUAAAGUGAAUAUAUUCGGAGAUAAUUGCUCCGAAAGAAAAAUAAAAUGUGUCCCACCCCCUCUAACUUUUGAACCAUAGGUCCAAAAAAUAUGAAAAAAAUCUUGGAAGAUAUGAUCAGUUUAGGUGUUUUUGAGUUAUCGCAAAAAGUUUCCCCUUCAUAGUAAAAAGACGUACACACACAGUUCAUCCCUUGGUUAACAAUCUACCAUACUUUAAGCUCCAGUUUAGCUUAUUGUGACGGAAGAGUAACUACGGAACCCUACUCUGAGCAUGGCCCGACAUGCUCUUGGCCGGUUUUUUAUAUUUUAAUAUGGUAGCAGAGUGUGGUUGGAAAUAACGUUAAAUUAUUUGCAAUUAUGGUGAAGAAACGUGAAGCAAAAUGUGGAAAGAGCACCACACUUCCACGGACUUUCCGACGUUGUAAAAUAAUACCGAGGCUACGACCUGUGCAUGAAGUUCUUCCGCUACCAGAAAAGUGAAGACCACGACAUGAUUGAAACAUCUAUGAUUGAAACUCUAUGUAUGAUUUGAACAAAGAAAUUGAGGGAGAUAAUCUGUCAUAAAUGCUAUUAAAAUGCAAAAUUAUGGACAGACUUCCUGAACAAUAUUUUAGCGUCAAAUGGAGUUGGCUUGUAAUGAAUAAAAGUGACAGAAACAUAGAGACGUUGACUAUACAAGUGUACACGAGAGAUUCCUGAAUCAGAAAAGCAUUGAAGAAGCCGGAGGCAGCAAUGAACUACUUAUGUUACAAGGGAACAAACAAUUCUGAAACUGCUAGCGAGAAGAGUCACUCUCAUCCAUUUGGAGAAAGUAGCAUCGAAGAGGGUUGCCGCAAGGUGAGUCGUCCACACUCCUCCGCCUAUAGAGGCAAGCGUCGGAGAGGAUUACCGAGGUGAGUCAUACUCCUUCACCUUUAGAGGCGCGUCGAAGAUGACUACCGCAAACAACGUCAGCUCAUCUAAUUCAGAGGGAAUCCUUGAAGAGGAUACAAGUCUAUAGAGGAUGAAGAGACAACAGAUAUAGAUCCGCCGAUACGACAGCUACGUGAUCUUUUCCAGUUAGUUAAUGAGGCUGUAUCUGUCCCGAAAUUCACUUCGUACUAAGUCGUCCCAAGAAGCCCUGCAAAAGAUAAGUGGAUAGAAAGCUAUGAACAUUGAAGUACAGUCCCGACAAGGAAAUCGGCAAUUGAAGAACUUAUUACCUAAAAAUAACGAACACUACGAUUUAAAUGGGUUUUUAAAAUCAAAAGAAACCCUGUUGGUACAGCCGAUAAGUAUAAAGCACAUUAGUCUCUGUUGGUUCUACACAAAAGAAGGGAAUCGAUUAUAAUCAAAUAUUUAUCCUUGUAGCUAAAAUACAAUCCCCUAAUGAGGGUUUAAUACUCAGACAGUUUGACGUUGUUCCUGCUUUCCUUGACCGUAAUGUGAAGGAAGAGUUUCUUUAUGACAGUCCGAGGGAUACGACGAUGGAACGUGUCGAGUAUGCACACUGAAAAGAAGUCUAGCUGAAAUAGGCGCCUAAGUGUGUUGGAACAAGUGUAGCCAUAAUUUUCUUAUAGCUCAGAUUUCAUCCAGAGCGAAUAAGACCCUUUGUGUCUGUCAAAGAACGUGGACAGAAGUAAAUACUGCUCGAUGACUCAUGCAUUCAUCAUCCAUGAAUUAAAAGGACGUUUUAAAAUCACCACGAUGGUACUGUCCUAUUUUCUGGGGCUUCAAAUAGAACAACACAACGAUUGUAGGUACUAUUAUUGUCCACCAAACGUCUAAUACACAAGAAAGCUAGAAUAGUAUGGAAUCAGUAACUGUUAAGGUCUGAAAGGAUGCUGGGACACCCAUACUCAAACCUGAAAGAGAAAUGGAGGGAACUAAAACCUGAAAAUAUAAUUUUAUACGUGA